AGCAACAACAUAUAUGAAUCACUAUUUGAUGACCAUUGGAGGAGCAUAUUGAGAUACGUUGCAGCUUAUUUCCAUGUUAGAGUAUUUGUAAUAGUUUAACUAGAAUUUUCAAUAUCUUGAUAAGAAAUUAACCAUUCUUCAAUAUUUUUCUUCAAAUCUAUUGAAUAACAAUAACAACAAUACCUAAACUUUAAUCCCAAACUAGUUGGGAUUGACUAUAUGUAUCAUUUUUCACCAUUCAACUUUAUUUGAGAUCAAUUCCGCAAAAAAUAUAGAAGGAAAGAUUAAUAAAUUAUGUAGGAGUUCAAUAAAGAAAAUUCUAGAGGCACAUGUUAGCCAUCAUGUAUUAACCUGACUUCUGGUGAUUGCCACUUGAUUACACGUCACAUAGAUAGGAGUUGAGGCAGGGUAAUGUCCAAUUACAAGGACAAAUCAAAACAAGUUGACCGAUAUGAUUUCUCCUUUGCAAUGCAGAACAAUGAAUAUAAGAGAGAAAAGAAGAAAUAAAGAUUAGGGUAAAUUACAUUCCCAUCACUAGGGUUCAACUACAAGUAAAAUACUCAAGACAAUAACUCUUAAUUACCACUAUUGGAUGGCAAUCUCCAACAUUUCAUCUGGUGUUUGUGAUUCAAACACAACAAAAAAGAAAGAGAACUAAAAUUCUUAAUCCUACUUGAAAUCUCUUUGAAGUCGCUGCAUAUUAUUUUGCAAGUCUCAUAUAGCCUCUUAUUUGGUUAUUCCCUCAGUUCUCCCUGUGAUGCAGAAACUAAAGCAUAAAAAUCUCUAGCAUUUCACAUUCUUCCACUUAGUCCAUUCAGUGGAACUUUUUGAUUUCAAUCUCCAACAGAAAAAUCCCUAAACCAAAAUCGACAUGCAGUAGUUAUACAUUUCUUGAGCUUUAGUCUUGCAACUUACACAUGUCAUAUCAUUAUAUUUUCAGUCAAUAAUUAUUAUUAACAAAGCAGAAAAUUUUUUCAGAUUAACUGAUCAAGACAAAUAUAGGAUGAGAAGCAUAUUAAGAAAAUAUAGUCCUAACCUGUAAAUAUAGGUAAUCUUAGGGACGAAAAUGUAAUUUGCCCAAAAAAUAAAGAUGGGAGGUUGUUGAGGAAAAUGAGAAAUCCUAGACGUACUUGCAGUUUAGCUAAAUAUAGAUUUGCCUAAGAGCAACAUGGUUAUUAGAACAAUUAGGCUUAACUACCUUUUCAUUAGUCUUUAUAGUCC
rnacentral:misc_RNA from 1 species